CAGAAAGGACAUUGAGAGGUCUGAGCUAUGUGACCCAGAUUCUCUAUUACAGUUAAACAAGUUGCUUUCUACAUCGAAGAGCAAGAUUAUACAAAAUUCACUUAUGAGGAGAAAAUGUCCUCAGAGGUGGCAGUUCCCAGAUCUCAACUCUUCCUGGGGUAGAGUGGGAUGCCAUGCACAGAAGGAAGGAGAGGAAAAGAGAUAUGCCAGCAAAGGCUCUGCGAUUGCACGGACUCUGGCUUUCCUUGGACUCACGAGGGCUUUAAGGAAAUUUACUGAAUCCUUGAAAAACUAAUCAUCCCUUUACAGCCUCGGGUGAGUUACUGCAAAAUUUAAUUUCUGCUAAGCUACCUGAGAUUGCAAACACCAAAAUAAAUGUAUGGUAUUUACCUGUCUGCUGAGUUUCUGUUUUUCUCUCUGACCCACACUUCAGAGUGUGUCAUGCUCUUGCAAAGCACUUUGGGAUGC
rnacentral:lncRNA from 1 species